CACCGACUUGUGAUCUUUUCUUUCGCUAUUUAGAGCUCUACUUCUACUUGCUUCUUCACAAGCAUUACAAUGGUUCUGUUUCUCUCUCUCUGCUUAUCACUCAUUCUCUCUUUCUGCCAUGGCUCAGCUUCUGCUACUGUUCCUCCUCAGCCCCUUGAUGGACUUGUGCCGAAUGGAGACUUUGAAGAGGCACCAGCAAAAUCAAAUCUCAAGAAAACAGUAAUCAUAGGAAAAUACUCACUCCCCAAGUGGGAAAUCAAUGGCUUAGUGCAGUAUGUUUCAGGUGGGCCACAACCAGGUGGCUUCUAUCUAGCCAUUCCACGUGGGAUCCAUGCAGUGAGGUUAGGCAAUGAGGCUUCUAUUUCUCAAAAUUUGACUGUGAAGCCAGGUUCAAUCUAUUCCAUCACAUUUGGGGCCACUAGGACCUGUGCCCAAGAUGAGGUGCUAAGAUUCUCUGUCCCUGGGCAGUCAAGUGACCUCUCUCUUCAAACCCUUUAUAGCAGUGAUGGUGGUGAUACUUAUGCGUUGGCCUUCAAAGCAGUUUCUAAAGUUGUUAAGCUCACAUUUCAUAACCCUGGAAUCCAAGAGGAUCCUUCUUGUGGCCCUCUGGUGGAUGCUGUGGCAAUCAAGGAGAUUGUUCCUCCCAAGUAUACCAAAGGUAAUCUGGUGAAGAAUGGUGGGUUUGAAACUGGACCUCAUCUAUUCAAGAACUUCUCAACUGGAGUCCUCCUACCUCCAAAGCAAAAGGACCUGAUCUCACCUCUUCCAGGAUGGAUCAUUGAGUCCCUGAAACCAGUUAAAUACAUUGACAGGAAGCAUUUCUUUGUCCCCUCAGGACUUGCUGCAAUUGAAUUAGUAGCAGGGAGAGAGAGUGCCAUAGCACAAGUGAUCAGAACAGUUCCAAACAAAUCGUACAACCUCACAUUUACCAUUGGAGAUGCAAAGAAUGGGUGCCAUGGAUCUAUGAUGGUUGAAGCAUUUGCUGCUAAGGAAACCCUGAAACUUCCAUUUGAAUCACAGGGAAAAGGUGGAUUCAAAACAGCAAGUUUCAAGUUCCAAGCAAUAGCUACCAGGACAAGGAUUACAUUUUACAGUGCUUAUUAUCAUACAAAGUUGAAUGAUUUUGGUCACAUGUGUGGCCCUGUUUUGGAUGAUGUUAGUGUAUUUCCUAGUCCUUAUUAGUCAAUUACA
rnacentral:misc_RNA from 1 species